GANGCGCGNCUAUCAUGCAAGUCGAGCGGACAGAUGGGAGCUUGCUCCCUGAUGUUAGCGGCGGACGGGUGAGUAACACGUGGGUAACCUGCCUGUAAGACUGGGAUAACUCCGGGAAACCGGGGCUAAUACCGGAUGCUUGUUUGAACCGCAUGGUUCAAACAUAAAAGGUGGCUUCGGCUACCACUUACAGAUGGACCCGCGGCGCAUUAGCUAGUUGGUGAGGUAACGGCUCACCAAGGCAACGAUGCGUAGCCGACCUGAGAGGGUGAUCGGCCACACUGGGACUGAGACACGGCCCAGACUCCUACGGGAGGCAGCAGUAGGGAAUCUUCCGCAAUGGACGAAAGUCUGACGGAGCAACGCCGCGUGAGUGAUGAAGGUUUUCGGAUCGUAAAGCUCUGUUGUUAGGGAAGAACAAGUACCGUUCGAAUAGGGCGGUACCUUGACGGUACCUAACCAGAAAGCCACGGCUAACUACGUGCCAGCAGCCGCGGUAAUACGUAGGUGGCAAGCGUUGUCCGGAAUUAUUGGGCGUAAAGGGCUCGCANGCGGUUCCUUAANUCUGAUGUGAAANCCCCCGGCUCAACCGGGGANGGUCAUUGNAACUG
rnacentral:rRNA from 1 species